AGUGCACAACCUGAGCCAUUUGAAGGUGAAAUGCCAACCCCAUGGACAUGGCACCUCUCUGUUCUUCAGUGUGUGUUUCCUGUGAACAGGUCCCGGUUCUGUGGAACCACAGGGAAGCCAUGAGUUACAUAAAGAACUUGCCAUCAAUACUCACUGCCAGUUGGUGUUGCUAGGUGUACCAAUGAAGUCCUGAAUGGCAGACAAACACAGUUUAGAGUCACCUGCUGCCUUUAGUUGUCAUGUCUGGCUUGGUGUCUUUACUUGUGUCUUAGUUACUUUUCUUAUUGCUGAGACAAAAUAUCAGACACCCAAGUUAAAGGAGGAAGGAUUUAUUGUACCUCACAGUUUGUAGGGGUUUCAGUUCAUAAUGAGCUGGAUCCAAGGCAGAAUGGCACAUGGCAGAGGGGCAUUGCAGAGGAGAAACAGUUCAUGGUGGGCAGAAGUGAAAUAGCAAGCAGCAAGCGACCAACAAGCUGCUCUUUCUGUCCCUUAUUUCUAGCCCAGCUACAUGCCCUUAGGGCGGGUAGCACUCACACCCAGGGUGGGCCUUCCCAUUAUUCACACCCAGAACUAUGCUGAACUGUAUUAAUUGAUAUUAAUGUGGACUAUAGUUUCUUCUUUCAUUGAGCAGGAUGCAGUCUGUUGCUCUGUUUCUUCAGCUGCAACCCUGGCCUCAGACAUGGCCAGUCAGCACACCUGCAAGUUGGGCCUUUGUCCCUUUGACAUGUGCUCCUCCUCCACGGGCCUGCUGUGAUUUUCCACAAGAAGGCGUUCCAGGCUGUGCACUGGUCCUGCUGUCUCAGUGGAAGUUUGUUUUGAAAGCUAAGCCUGGAGUGUGUGCCUGUGCUAGUGCACUCGCCUGGUCCCAGGCCACCUUGGGAAUUGGAGCUGGGAGUGUUGUGCACGCACACACAAGUGCACACGUGACAUCCCAGUGCUCCUGUGUCCGUAUAGCGAGAUCGGGAGCACAGCAGUACCUCAGUGCCAGUCUGGCUGCAGGGCUCCUCAUUUCCCUCCUUUCUGUCGUUGCAGCUCUAUUCUCAGACAGUGGCUCCAGCCACCCUCAGCGUAACAACCCCUAAUUGCUGCAGAUUUUCUUAUUCAUGGGCAAACUCACUUAUCAGAAAACGUGACAUUGGAGGGGUAGUUUCCCUGCUAAAUCUUUACGUAAGAAGUUAGUUACACUGUUUUCCUCAGCACAAGUAAAACCACUUAUCCUAUAUAUAAGAUCCUAAAUUUCAAGAAAUUUAGGUGACAGAUGCAAGUCAAGCACACCAGUGCUAGAUAAAACACUAUAUCCAUGCCUGUGCCUUGUGGCCAUUGGCAUAUUGUGCUUCUGCAUUUAUUUCCCUGGCUCAGGGAACAGCAAAAGGACUAAUUAAUCCUGUUUUCUAUGUACGCAUCACUCUCUCUGCGAACUUUCCCUGUCCGUUCACAAGCAUUUCCAGCCUCCUUUGCUCUGCCCUGUGUUUACAUGUGAGCUGGAUUUCAGGUCCGUGCUGUCACUCCACAAAUACAUUUUCCUAAGCAGCCCUGGUGUUUGGAACCAAAUCAGUCCCACUGCUCCUGGCUUGAAGAGAGCAUUGAGGAUGUCGGGUGUGAAUGGAGUACUAGUGCUCUGUGUGACUCACCGCUAGAGAGAAGAGUGCGUGACAACCUGUGAAGAGAGUGAAGCCAAGAGGCCCUAGGACAAAACCCCAGUGCACUCUGGGAUUGUGAAACUAGGGGGGCUGCAAAUGCAACUUAGGAAAACUAGGCAUGGGGCACCCUAAAGGGAUUUUAGUGCUGAAGCAACUUUAUAAUACCCAAGUGGACAUUGUUUGACUAUGUGCUAUGUGCACUAAUGUCUGAAGAUCCAAGAAAUAUGUGACAGCCGCCUUUAAAUAGAAAGUCAAAGCUUCUGCACAUUUCUUAUGUUCCCUGUUGGCUGAACGUGGCCCAGUUGAAAAGCAGUUGUGUUAGGGUAGGGAAAAGCACGGCUCUUAUAGCUUUUGUUCACUAGUUGUUAUGUUCACAGGAAAUUGUUCAAGAACAGUUCUCCUUAUGUUAGGCUUGCCCACAAAUGCUGCUUAGGUCACUGUCUAGAUUAUUUGCAGCCUAAAUGCCAACUCUAUAAAUUCAGUCUGUCAAGUGACAGUGUUUGCUGUAGCAUGCAUACAUGAUCAACCUUUAAAAUUUAUUUAUACUCCAUUCCCCUUCUCUAGCCAGAUUAAAUUCUCCUUUCCUAAGCUAUUUAGGUCUCACUUCAGACUGGCAGAAUUCAACGUUUUAGACAACCACAGGGCAACAGUGGCUCUACUUACUUCCAGUUCCCAACUGAUUUGUAUUUGGGCUACCAAACAGCAAGAGAAAUUUAGAAAGUUUUCUGAAAAUAAACAUUAUCUCACUGUGUUCCUUCAGGUAGCAGAAUAUGAAUCAGUCAUGCCAUGAAAAUCAGUGAAUUCUUAUGGGCUCUUAGAUCCUUCCAUUCAGUCCCAAGAAACAGUUCCUGGGAGACUGCAAAUGGCAAAUACAUAUUCUUUUGACUAAUCUGUCUGUCACAUCUUAACAUGCAUGCUGGACUCCCACGGAAAUAAAUACUAUAUUAACUGGCUGCAUUACUAAGCUGAAAACUACCUAAGCAAUUUUCAGGUUUAUAUUUGGAUUAAAAUUAGCCAUGAAAAGUAAAGGGAAAGAAUGGCAUAACAUAAAGAGAAUUGUUUCUUAAAAUGGUCACUUUUUACAAAGUUGUUCAAAAACUGCCUUGAAAACUUCCCAGAGAAAGUAUUACUGCUAAUGGUUGGAUGUGAGGGCUCAAUAAGAUGUUUACUUCUGAUUCAGCUACAUUUAUUUGUGCAUUCCUUGUAAAGUGACUGACACUUUCUGUAUCUGAGUAUGUAUAAAAUACAACAGCCCACACCCAGCUACUGGCCUUUGGACUUUGUCAUUAGGCGAGAUUCCUUGAGAUGCUUAUUAUGACAAGCUUGAUUGCUCAUUGGAAAUUGCUGUCUAAACUUCCUACAGAAAUUAUAGUGCUGCUGUUAGGGUUUUAUUAUUUGUUGAAAUUUGCCUAACAGACUCUUGAUAAAAUAAAUACAUAACUCAAGGGAAGAAAUUGUUGCUUUUCAAAAUAUAGCAUGGGUUAGUUUUGAAAAAUAAACACUAAAUUAUACGUUCAAAGAACUCUACACAUUUUUACCUUUUAAAAAUAAUCAUGAAAGAUUAAUUAUGGAUAUAAAAUAGGCUGUUACAAUAGCAAAAGGAAAAUCCGGAUACCUACUGGGUUAUGGCAUAUUGAGGUAUUUCUCUCCAUUAAAUAUACUUGAUGUAUCAUUAUACUUUGAACAUUAGUAUCAUUAGUAUCAUUUGAAUAUUAGUUGGUAUUGUUACAUUUGAUCAUUCUGUUAUUGCAAUGGUAAUACUCUUGCUGUAUUAAGUGUUGUUUAUCAGUGGUACGGCUCCAACCAACCUGAAAAGGAUGAAUCUUCCAUUUCUUUUGUAUGCCUGGAAUAAACAGAAUCAGUGUUUACUAGCUUUGGUAUCCUUGUAAAGAUUUCUGAUUUGUUGAUUUGUUGGCUUCCAUUCUCUCAUCUUCCAUGAGGGUCUUCCUUAUAUUCUUACAGUCUUUCUUUUCCUGCUAUUGACUUUUCUAUUUCAGUUAUACUGAGGAAAAGUCCUCAUUCUUAUUACGUCAAGGACACAUAUUUAGUUAAAAGAAGUAACUUCUCUCUAAGGGGCCAGCUUGUUUAGCAG
ensembl:lncRNA